CCUACGGGACGCAGCAGUGGGGAAUAUUUCACAAUGGGGGACACCCUGAUGCAGCGACGCCGCGUGAGUGAAGAAGUAUUUCGGUAUGUAAAGCUCUAUAAGCAGGGAAGAAAAUGACGGUACCUGAUUAAGAAGCCCCGGCUAACUACGGGCCAGCAGCCGCGGUAAGACGUAGGGGGCAAGCGUUAUCCGGAUUUACUGGGUGUAAAGGGAGCGUAGACGGCAGCACAAGUCUGGCGGGAAAUGCCGGGGCUUAACCCCGGAACUGCGUUGGAAACUGUGCAGCUAGAGUGCAGGAGAGGUAAGUGGAAUUCCUAGUGUAGCGGUGAAAUGCGUAGAGAUUAGGAGGAACACCAGUGGCGAAGGCGGCUUACUGGACUGUAACUGACGUUGAGGCUCGAAAGCGUGGGGAGCAAACAGGAUUAGAUACCCUGGUAGUC
rnacentral:rRNA from 1 species